UACGUAGGGUGCAAGCGUUGUCCGGAAUUAUUGGGCGUAAAGAGCUUGUAGGUGGUUUGUCGCGUCUGCUGUGAAAAUCCGAGGCUCAACCUCGGACUUGCAGUGGGUACGGGCAGACUAGAGUGUGGUAGGGGAGACUGGAAUUCCUGGUGUAGCGGUGGAAUGCGCAGAUAUCAGGAGGAACACCGAUGGCGAAGGCAGGUCUCUGGGCCAUUACUGACGCUGAGGAGCGAAAGCGUGGGGAGCGAACAGG
rnacentral:rRNA from 1 species